GAUGAACGCUGGCGGCGUGCCUAAUACAUGCAAGUCGAGCGAACGGACGAGAAGCUUGCUUCUCUGAUGUUAGCGGCGGACGGGUGAGUAACACGUGGAUAACCUACCUAUAAGACUGGGAUAACUUCGGGAAACCGGAGCUAAUACCGGAUAAUAUUUUGAACCGCAUGGUUCAAAAGUGAAAGACGGUCUUGCUGUCACUUAUAGAUGGAUCCGCGCUGCAUUAGCUAGUUGGUAAGGUAACGGCUUACCAAGGCAACGAUGCAUAGCCGACCUGAGAGGGUGAUCGGCCACACUGGAACUGAGACACGGUCCAGACUCCUACGGGAGGCAGCAGUAGGGAAUCUUCCGCAAUGGGCGAAAGCCUGACGGAGCAACGCCGCGUGAGUGAUGAAGGUCUUCGGAUCGCAAAACUCUGUUAUUAGGGAAGAACAUAUGUGUAAGUAACUGUGCACAUCUUGACGGUACCUAAUCAGAAAGCCACGGCUAACUACGU
rnacentral:rRNA from 1 species